AUUGAACGCUGGCGGCAGGCCUAACACAUGCAAGUCGAACGGUAACAGGAAGCAGCUUGCUGCUUUGCUGACGAGUGGCGGACGGGUGAGUAAUGUCUGGGAAACUGCCUGAGGGAGGGGGAUAACUACUGGAAACGGUAGCUAAUACCGCAUAACGUCGCAAGACCAAAGAGGGGGACCUUCGGGCCUCUUGCCAUCGGAUGUGCCCAGAUGGGAUUAGCUAGUAGGUGGGGUAACGGCUCACCUAGGCGACGAUCCCUAACUGGUCUGAGAGGAUGACCAGCCACACUGGAACUGAGACACGGUCCAGACUCCUACGGGAGGCAGCAGUGGGGAAUUUUGCACAAUGGGCGCAAGCCUGAUGCAGCCAUGCCGCGUGUAUGAAGAAGGCCUUCGGGUUGUAAAGUACUUUCAGCGGGGAGGAAGGGAGUAAAGUUAAUACCUUUGCUCAUUGACGUUACCCGAAGAAGAAGCACCGGCUAACUCCGUG
rnacentral:rRNA from 1 species